ensembl:lncRNA
GAUGUUAAAAGCAGCACAAAAAUUGAGGGAAACUUAUUUAACUGGGUUAUGGAUUUUCUAAGAGAGCGGGUUAUCAAGGUUAAAAUUGGGUCGGAGGUGUCAGAAAGUCAUGAGGUAGAGAAUGGUACACCGCAGGGGAGUGUUAUAAGUCCUACACUAUUCACAAUAAUGAUAAAUGAUAUAUGUGAAAAAAUACCGAUAGGAAUGGGAAGAUCUCUGUUUGCAGAUGAUGGGGCAUUAUGGAAGAAGGGAGGCAACAUAGACCAUUUAGUGAAGAAGCUGCAGGAAGGGAUAGACCAAGUGGAAAAAUGGGGAGCAGAAUGGGGUUUUAAAUUCUCAGUGGAAAAAGUAAAGUGAUGUUCUUCUCAAAAAAGAAAAUCAGUGGAAAUAAAAAGUUAAACUUAUAUGGAAAGAACUUAGACAGAGUAAACAGCUUUCGAUUCUUGGGGUUGAUUUUUGAUUCUAGAUUAACGUGGAGAGAACAUGUGAAGAGAAUAGUAGAAAAAAGUAAGGGAGUAUUAAAUGUUAUGAGGUGUUUGGCCGGAUUAGAAUGGGGAGCGAAUUUUACUUCAUUAAAAUACAUAUAUGUAGCACUAAUUAGGUCUAGAAUAGAGUAUGGUAGUGUGGGAUAUGGAUCAGCAGCUAAAACGGUCCUCUCACAGCUAGAUGUUAUCCAAGCUCGAGCAUUAAGAAUUUGUCUAGGAGCAAUGACAACAGCACCAGUAUGCUCCCUUCAGGUUGAAGCAGGAGAAAUGCCAUUAUGGAUUAGAAGGAAACAGCUUAUAGCCAACUACUGGACAAACCUAAAAGGGCACAGUGAGGAUCACCCAACAAAGAGAGUAUUGGAGAUGUGUUGGGAAAAAGUGAAAGAACAAAAAACAAGCUUUGGGUGGGUCAGUGAGGGUUUAGCACAACAACUAAAGAUACAGCAGAGAGAAUUCAGCCCAACACUUCUGUGGACAACAAGACCAGAAUGGAUGUUAGAAGAAUCAAGUGUAGAUCUAGAAAUAUGGAACAUCAAGAGAAGAAAUAAGACAGCAGAUCUAGUUCAGGAAUUUUAUAACUAUGUAGAUGAAAAGUAUGGGGAAUAUGUUUACAUAUAUACAGAUGGUUCAAAAGAGCCGAUAACAGGAGCAACAGGUGCAGCAGUAGUGAUUCCCAGCCAUCAUACCACAAUAUCAAAGAGAACAUCAGAUCAUUUAAGCAUAUAUGCAGUAGAGCUAUGCGCAAUAUUACUAGCAAUAGAAUGGAUGGAGGACAAGGUGGACAAAAAGAUAGUCAUAUGUAGUGAUUCAGUUUCAUCAAUACUGAGCAUUAAAAACAGGACAGGUAAAACACAUCAAGAAAUACUCUAUGAAAUAUUCGUAAAAACAUCCAGAUUAAUACAACAGGGGAGGGAAAUGACAUUCAUGUGGGUUCCAGCGCAUUCAGGAAUACAAGGAAAUGAAAAAGCAGACAAAAUUGCUAAGGAGGCAGUGAAGAAAGAAGAGGUGGAAAUGAAAGUAAAAUUAUCAAAAGCAGAGGGGAAAAGUUUAGUAUGGAAGGAAAUAAAUAAUCAAUGGAGUCAACAUUGGAAGCAGGAGGAAAAAGGGAGACAUCUAUAUAAAUUACAAAGUGUAGUAGGAGGUAUAGGAUGUUAUGGAGAUAAUAGAACAGAACAAGUAAUCAUGAGCAGAAUGAGAAUAGGGCACAGUAAAUUGAACAGCACACUUAGUCUGAUAGGCAAACAUACAACGGGUUUGUGUAACUAUGGGGAGAGGGAGACAGUAGAACAUGUGGUGAUGGCAUGUCCUGGUUAUGAACGGGAGAGGGAGAUGAUGGCUACAGGGUUGCGGAAGGUGGGAGGAAGGGAAAUUAACUUUAAUAAUAUUAUAGAAUGUGGAAAAUCUAGAGAAGGGAGGAGAAUCAUCUUCAGAUUUCUUAUAUCAACUGGAUUAAUUAAAAGGACAUAGAAGAAGGGAAAACGAGAAAAGUAAAGUCCAGCAGAUGGCGGUAUAUGCAACAUUAAGGAUGCCGACUGCCAUUAAACACCAAAGAAGAAGAA